GAUUUGUUUGAGUACUAUGAUUGUUUUUUUUUUGCUUUAUUACAUUGGUGUUUUGGUUAAGACAAUAUGAAAGUCCAAUUGCUUUUCUUUUUGUUAUCAACAAAGUGAAUGUUGCUUUUCUAAACUACAUAUAACCGUAAUGGUGUUUGGUCGUGUAUAAAAGAAAUGUGUAAGAGUAUAAAAUUUUGUAUCCAAGUCGCUUAAGCACAUCAAUAUUACGCAGAGGCAUUA
rnacentral:lncRNA from 1 species